GGGCAGGUCUGCGCUUCACGGUGCCACGGCUGAAGGACACACACAAAACGGUUCAGUUUGAGCUGCAGAUCCGCAGUAAAAACGAGAAUAACUCCCACAGUGAGGUUGUGCCGUAUAAACUGGAGGUGGAGGUUCAGGCUGACGUCAUUCUGCAGGGCGUUUCCCGGCCUGAUAAGGUCUUCUUCCCGCCAGUCAACUGGAAGCUGACCAAGAACUACGAGGUGGAGCAGGACGUGGGGCCACCAGUGGAGCACAUC